CCAGUAAUGUACGCUCGUCUCAAAGGUUAAGCCAUGCAUGUCUAAGUACAUACUAAAAUAAAGUGAAACCGCAAAAGGCUCAGUAUAACAGCUGUAAUUUCUUAGAUCAUAUUCCCAGUACUUGGAUAACUGUGGAAAAUCUAGAGCUAAUACAUGCAAAUAAUGCGAGUAUCGUAAGAUUCUCGUGCAGUUAUUAGACAAACCAAUCGGUCUUCGGACUGUUUUAUAUGGUGGAACUCUAGAUAACUUUGCUGAUCGUAUGGCCUUGUGCCGACGACAGAUCUUUCAAAUGUCUGCCCUAUCAACUUUGAUGUUAGUAUAGAGGACUAACAUGGUUGCAACGGGUAACGGGGAAUCAGGGUUCGAUUCCGGAGAGGGAGCCUGAGAAACGGCUACCACAUCUAAGGAAGGCAGCAGGCGCGUAAAUUACCCACUCCCGGCACGGGGAGGUAGUGACGAAAAAUAACAAUAUAGAACUAGUUAACUAUGUUCUGUAAUUGGAAUGAAUCAAGUUUAAAUCCUUUAAUGAGGAUCAAGUGGAGGGCAAGUCUGGUGCCAGCAGCCGCGGUAAUUCCAGCUCCACUAGCGUAUGUUAAAAAUUGCGAUUUUAAAACGUUUUGUUUACUUUUUCAACAGAGCAUUUUCUCUAAAUUUAAUUAGAUUUACGCUAGAUAUAAAUCCAAUUAUAAUAGAUUCUAAGUGUCAAAGAGUAAAUCAACAUUAUCUCAUUAAGUGCUACAAAGAAAACUGUCGGAAUAUUGCUGGAAUUAAAAAAUUAUAAAAAACAAAAUUAAGUUUAUUAAAAAUGUUUCCACAAAAUAAUCAAUCGAAUCCUAUGAAGGAUAUAGAAGUAACAGCACCACCAGACGACACAAUAUCGGCAAUGAAAUUCUCACCAGCUACGUCUUUGCCAAAAAAUUUUCUCCUUGCUGGAAGUUGGGAUUGUAGUGUAAGAUGCUGGGAAGUUGCGGAUACCGGUUCAACAAUCCCAAAGGCAAUGAAAACAAUGACAGCACCAGUUUUGGACGUAAGUUGGCACGACGAUGGUACAAAAGCAUUUAUUGCAGGAGCUGACAAAACAGGAAGAGUUUGGGACUUAGCAGCUGAUCAAGUCAUGCAAGUUGCAGCGCAUGAUAAUACUGUUAAGACUUGUCACUGGGUUAAAGCACCUAAUUACUCUUGUUUAAUGACUGGAAGUUGGGAUAAAACGCUUAAAUUUUGGGAUUUACGUCAGCCAAAUCCAAUUCUGCAAUUUGCAUUACCUGAACGUUGUUAUACAGCAGAUGUUGAAUAUCCAAUGGCCGUUGUUGGAACUGCAAAUAGACAUGUCAUAAUAUAUUCACUUGAAAAUCAACCUCAAGAAUAUAAAAGGCACGAAAGUCCUUUAAAAUACCAGCAUCGUUGUGUAUCAAUAUUUAAUGACA
rnacentral:rRNA from 1 species